rnacentral:rRNA from 1 species
CAGCACCUCAAGUGGUCAGGAUGAUUAUUGGGCCUAAAGCAUCCGUAGCCGGCGCUGUAAGUUUUCGGUUAAAUCUGUACGCUCAACGUACAGGCUGCCGGGAAUACUGCAGCGCUAGGGAGUGGGAGAGGUAGACGGUACUCGGUAGGAAGGGGUAAAAUCCUUUGAUCUAUUGAUGACCACCUGUGGCGAAGGCGGUCUACCAGAACACGUCCGACGGUGAGGGAUGAAAGCUGGGGGAGCAAACCGGAUUAGAGACCCCAGUAGUCC